rnacentral:rRNA from 1 species
CAGUGGGGAAUAUUGGACAAUGGGGGGAACCCUGAUCCAGCCAUGCCGCGUGUGUGAAGAAGGCCUUAUGGUUGUAAAGCACUUUAAGCGAGGAGGAGGCUACUGAGAUUAAUACUCUUGGAUAGUGGACGUUACUCGCAGAAUAAGCACCGGCUAACUCUGUGCCAGCAGCCGCGGUAAUACAGAGGGUGCGAGCGUUAAUCGGAUUUACUGGGCGUAAAGCGUGCGUAGGCGGCUUUUUAAGUCGGAUGUGAAAUCCCCGAGCUUAACUUGGGAAUUGCAUUCGAUACUGGGAAGCUAGAGUAUGGGAGAGGAUGGUAGAAUUCCAGGUGUAGCGGUGAAAUGCGUAGAGAUCUGGAGGAAUACCGAUGGCGAAGGCAGCCAUCUGGCCUAAUACUGACGGUGAGGUACGAAAGCAUGGGGAGCAAACAGGAUUAGAUACCCUGGUAGUCCAUGCCGUAAACGAUGUCUACUAGCCGUUGGGGCCUUUGAGGCUUUAGUGGCGCAGCUAACGCG